rnacentral:snRNA from 1 species
GUACUCGCUUUGGCGGUACAUAUAUUAAAAUUGGAACGAUGCAAUGAAGAUAAGCAUGAACCCUGCUCAAGAAUGAUAUGCGAAAUCGUGAAGCAUUCCAUAUUUUU